rnacentral:rRNA from 1 species
UUAAGCGACCAAGCGUACACGGUGGAUGCCCUGGCAGUCAGAGGCGAUGAAGGACGUGCUAAUCUGCGAUAAGCGCCGGUAAGGUGAUAUGAACCGUUAUAACCGGCGAUUUCCGAAUGGGGAAACCCAGUGUGAUUCGUCACACUAUCAUUAACUGAAUCCAUAGGUUAAUGAGGCGAACCGGGGGAACUGAAACAUCUAAGUACCCCGAGGAAAAGAAAUCAACCGAGAUUCCCCCAGUAGCGGCGAGCGAACGGGGAGGAGCCCAGAGCCUGAAUCAGCAUGUGUGUUAGUGGAAGCGUCUGGAAAGGCGCGCGAUACAGGGUGACAGCCCCGUACACAAAAGCGCACAUGCUGUGAGCUCGAUGAGUAGGGCGGGACACGUGGUAUCCUGUCUGAAUAUGGGGGGACCAUCCUCCAAGGCUAAAUACUCCUGACUGACCGAUAGUGAACCAGUACCGUGAGGGAAAGGCGAAAAGAACCCCGGCGAGGGGAGUGAAACAGAACCUGAAACCGUGUACGUACAAGCAGUGGGAGCCUCUCUUUAUGGGGGGUGACUGCGUACCUUUUGUAUAAUGGGUCAGCGACUUAUAUUCUGUAGCAAGGUUAACCGCAUAGGGGAGCCGAAGGGAAACCGAGUCUUAACCGGGCGUUAAGUUGCAGGGUAUAGACCCGAAACCCGGUGAUCUAGCCAUGGGCAGGUUGAAGGUUGGGUAACACUAACUGGAGGACCGAACCGACUAAUGUUGAAAAAUUAGCGGAUGACCUGUGGCUGGGGGUGAAAGGCCAAUCAAACCGGGAGAUAGCUGGUUCUCCCCGAAAGCUAUUUAGGUAGCGCCUCGUGAACUCAUCUCCGGGGGUAGAGCACUGUUUCGGCUAGGGGGCCAUCCCGGCUUACCAACCCGAUGCAAACUGCGAAUACCGGAGAAUGUUAUCACGGGAGACACACGGCGGGUGCUAACGUCCGUCGUGAAGAGGGAAACAACCCAGACCGCCAGCUAAGGUCCCAAAGUCAUGGUUAAGUGGGAAACGAUGUGGGAAGGCCCAGACAGCCAGGAUGUUGGCUUAGAAGCAGCCAUCAUUUAAAGAAAGCGUAAUAGCUCACUGGUCGAGUCGGCCUGCGCGGAAGAUGUAACGGGGCUAAACCAUGCACCGAAGCUGCGGCAGCGACACUGUGUGUUGUUGGGUAGGGGAGCGUUCUGUAAGCCUGCGAAGGUGGCCUGUGAGGGUUGCUGGAGGUAUCAGAAGUGCGAAUGCUGACAUAAGUAACGAUAAAGCGGGUGAAAAGCCCGCUCGCCGGAAGACCAAGGGUUCCUGUCCAACGUUAAUCGGGGCAGGGUGAGUCGACCCCUAAGGCGAGGCCGAAAGGCGUAGUCGAUGGGAAACGGGUUAAUAUUCCCGUACUUGGUGUUACUGCGAAGGGGGGACGGAGAAGGCUAUGUUGGCCGGGCGACGGUUGUCCCGGUUUAAGCGUGUAGGCUGACUUUCCAGGCAAAUCCGGAGAGUCAAGGCUGAGGCGUGACGACGAGGCACUACGGUGCUGAAGCAACAAAUGCCCUGCUUCCAGGAAAAGCCUCUAAGCAUCAGGUAACAUCAAAUCGUACCCCAAACCGACACAGGUGGUCAGGUAGAGAAUACCAAGGCGCUUGAGAGAACUCGGGUGAAGGAACUAGGCAAAAUGGUGCCGUAACUUCGGGAGAAGGCACGCUGACACGUAGGUGAAGUGAUUUACUCAUGGAGCUGAAGUCAGUCGAAGAUACCAGCUGGCUGCAACUGUUUAUUAAAAACACAGCACUGUGCAAACACGAAAGUGGACGUAUACGGUGUGACGCCUGCCCGGUGCCGGAAGGUUAAUUGAUGGGGUCAGCGCAAGCGAAGCUCCUGAUCGAAGCCCCGGUAAACGGCGGCCGUAACUAUAACGGUCCUAAGGUAGCGAAAUUCCUUGUCGGGUAAGUUCCGACCUGCACGAAUGGCGUAAUGAUGGCCAGGCUGUCUCCACCCGAGACUCAGUGAAAUUGAACUCGCUGUGAAGAUGCAGUGUACCCGCGGCAAGACGGAAAGACCCCGUGAACCUUUACUAUAGCUUGACACUGAACAUUGAGCCUUGAUGUGUAGGAUAGGUGGGAGGCUUUGAAGCGUGGACGCCAGUCUGCGUGGAGCCGGCCUUGAAAUACCACCCUUUAAUGUUUGAUGUUCUAACGUGGACCCGUGAUCCGGGUUGCGGACAGUGUCUGGUGGGUAGUUUGACUGGGGCGGUCUCCUCCUAAAGAGUAACGGAGGAGCACGAAGGUUGGCUAAUCCUGGUCGGACAUCAGGAGGUUAGUGCAAUGGCAUAAGCCAGCUUGACUGCGAGCGUGACGGCGCGAGCAGGUGCGAAAGCAGGUCAUAGUGAUCCGGUGGUUCUGAAUGGAAGGGCCAUCGCUCAACGGAUAAAAGGUACUCCGGGGAUAACAGGCUGAUACCGCCCAAGAGUUCAUAUCGACGGCGGUGUUUGGCACCUCGAUGUCGGCUCAUCACAUCCUGGGGCUGAAGUAGGUCCCAAGGGUAUGGCUGUUCGCCAUUUAAAGUGGUACGCGAGCUGGGUUUAGAACGUCGUGAGACAGUUCGGUCCCUAUCUGCCGUGGGCGCUGGAAGACUGAGGGGGGCUGCUCCUAGUACGAGAGGACCGGAGUGGACGCAUCACUGGUGUUCGGGUUGUCAUGCCAAUGGCACUGCCCGGUAGCUAAAUGCGGAAGAGAUAAGUGCUGAAAGCAUCUAAGCACGAAACUUGCCCCGAGAUGAGUCUUCCCUGAGACUUCGAGUCUCCUGAAGGAACGUUAAAGACGAUGACGUUGAUAGGCCGGGUGUGUAAGCGCAGCGAUGCGUUGAGCUAACCGGUACUAAUGAACCGUGAGGCUUAACCUU